rnacentral:rRNA from 1 species
UUGGAGGGCAAGUCUGGUGCCAGCAGCCGCGGUAAUUCCAGCUCCAAUAGCGUAUAUUAAAGUUGUUGCAGUUGAAAAGCUCGUAGUUGAAUUUCGGGGUUAGUAGGUUGGUCAUGCCUCUGGUAUGUACUGGUCUCACUGAUUCCUCCUUCCUGAUGAACCGUAAUGCCAUUAAUUUGGUGUUGCGGGGAAUUUGGACUGUUACUUUGAAAAAAUUAGAGUGUUUAAAGCAAGCUAACGCUUGAAUACGUUAGCAUGGAAUAAUGAAAUAGGACGUUCGAUCCUAUUUUGUUGGUUUCUAGGAUUGACGUAAUGAUUAAUAGGGAUAGUUGGGGGCAUUAGUAUUCAAUUGUCAGAGGUGAAAUUCUUGGAUUUAUUGAAGACUAACUACUGCGAAAGCAUUUGCCAAGGAUGUUUUCAUUAAUCAAGAACGAAAGUUAGGGGAUCGAGGACGAUCAGAUACCGUCGUAGUCUUAACCAUAAACUAUGCCGACUAGGGAUCGGAUGAUGUUAAUUUUUUAAUGACUCAUUCGGCGCCUUACGGGAAAC